UUCCGGUUGAUCCUGCCGGACCUGACUGCUAUCGGAUUGAUACUAAGCCAUGCGAGUCAUUGUAGCAAUACAAGGCAUACGGCUCAGUAACGCGUAGUCAACCUACCCUAUGGACGGAAAUAACCUCGGGAGACUGAGAAUAAUAUCCGAUAGAACAUUAUGCCUGGAAUGGUUUAUGUUCCAAAUGAUUUAUCGCCGUAGGAUGGGACUGCGGCCUAUCAGUUUGUUGGUGAGGUAAUGGCCCACCAAGACUAUUACAGGUACGGGCUCUGAGAGGAGUAGCCCGGAGAUGGGUACUGAGACACGGACCCAGGCCCUAUGGGGCGCAGCAGGCGAGAAAACUUUGCAAUGUGCGAAAGCACGACAAGGUUAAUCCGAGUGAUUUCUGCUAAAGAAAUCUUUUGUUAGUCCUAGAAACACUAACGAAUAAGGGGUGGGCAAGUUCUGGUGUCAGCCGCCGCGGUAAAACCAGCACCUCAAGUGGUCAGGAUGAUUAUUGGGCCUAAAGCAUCCGUAGCCGGCUCUGUAAGUCCUCGGUUAAAUCUGUACGCUUAACGUACAGGCUGCCGGGAAUACUGCAUAGCUAGGGAGUGGGAGAGGUAGACGGUACUCGGUAGGAAGGGGUAAAAUCCUUUGAUCUAUUGAUGACCACCUGUGGCGAAGGCGGUCUACCAGAACACGUCCGACGGUGAGGGAUGAAAGCUGGGGGAGCAAACCGGAUUAGAUACCCGGGUAGUCCCAGCUGUAAACUAUGCAAACUCAGUGAUGCAUUGGCUUGUGGCCAAUGCAGUGCUGCAGGGAAGCCGUUAAGUUUGCCGCCUGGGAAGUACGUACGCAAGUAUGAAACUUAAAGGAAUUGGCGGGGGAGCACCACAA
rnacentral:rRNA from 2 species